GAAACUAGUUGUAUUCUUUCUUUUGAAGAAACUUAAUUGUCGUCUUCCUUUUAAAACCUAGGAGUUUAGUCAUUUUACGGCUAAAAGUCUUCCUCUCUCGAUAUACAUGUUUCAUUGUUAUGGCGACAACAUCUCAUCCUUAAAUUGUCAAAAUCUCUGUGAGCUGGUUGUGCGACUGCAAUUCUUUUUAUUAUUUAGUACGAGUUAUAUAGGACUGCAACAAUCUGACUGGCUUAAGACUUUACUGCUCUAAGUUGAAUUUGGAGGGAAUCUAAGCUUGAAAUAAUGGGCGAUGCUUUUUCCCUUGCAGCUGAUGAUCACAAGUAUGCAUGAUUAAAGAGUGAAGAGUGACCAAUCAGCUUCUCUGUUUUUGUGACAAUUUCCUGUAAUGCAAACUGAGCCAUGAUAAAAGCAGGUUGAAAGAGUUGUUGUCUGGUUCCUGUGAAAUGUAUCAUCAAAUUGAGUAAACAGUUUCUGCAUACAGAAAUAUGCUUAUAAGUCA